GACGAACGCUGGCGGCGUGCCUAAUACAUGCAAGUUGAGCGAUGAAGAUUGGUGCUUGCCCCAAUUUGAAGAGCAGCGAACGGGUGAGUAACGCGUGGGGAAUCUGCCUUUGAGCGGGGGACAACAUUUGGAAACGAAUGCUAAUACCGCAUAACAACUUUAAACAUAAGUUUUAAGUUUGAAAGAUGCAAUUGCAUCACUCAAAGAUGAUCCCGCGUUGUAUUAGCUAGUUGGUGAGGUAAAGGCUCACCAAGGCGAUGAUACAUAGCCGACCUGAGAGGGUGAUCGGCCACAUUGGGACUGAGACACGGCCCAAACUCCUACGGGAGGCAGCAGUAGGGAAUCUUCGGCAAUGGACGAAAGUCUGACCGAGCAACGCCGCGGGAGUGAAGAAGGUUUUCGGAUCGUAAAACUCUGUUGGUAGGGAAGAACGUUGGUGAGAGUGGAAAGCUCAUCAAGUGACGGUAACUACCCAGAAAGGGACGGCUAACUACGUG
rnacentral:rRNA from 1 species